rnacentral:rRNA from 1 species
UACGUAGGGUGCAAGCGUUGUUCGGAAUCAUUGGGCGUAAAGAGCGUGUAGGUGGCUUAUCAAGUCGAUUGUGAAGGCCCUCGGCUCAACCGGGGAAGUGCAGUCGAAACUGGUAGGCUCGAGAACGGUAGAGGAAGGUGGAAUUCCUAGUGUAGAGGUGAAAUUCGUAGAUAUUAGGAGGAAUACCUGUGGCGAAGGCGGCCUUCUGGGCCGUUUCUGACACUGAGACGCGAAAGCGUGGGUAGCAAACAGG